AAAGUCGUAACAAGGUUUCCGUAGGUGAACCUGCGGAAGGAUCAUUACCGAGUCGAGGUGGGUGGCCGUCCCCGGGCGGCCGCCCACGAACCUCACCACCCGUGUCUACCGUACCCUGUUGCUUCGGCGGGCCCGCCGCUAGUCGGCCGCCGGGGGACCUCAGGUCCCCGGGCCCGUGCCCGCCGGAGACCCCCCGAACACUGCCUGAAGGUUGCUGUCUGAGUGGUCAAAAAACAAAAACAAAACUUUCAACAACGGAUCUCUUGGUUCCG
rnacentral:misc_RNA from 1 species